rnacentral:piRNA from 1 species
UAUUGAAACUUCAGCUGAAAA